rnacentral:rRNA from 1 species
AUUGAACGCUGGCGGCAUGCUUUACACAUGCAAGUCGAACGGUAGGGUAGCAAUACCUGAGAGUGGCGAACGGGUGAGUAAUGCAUCGGAACGUGCCCAAGAGUGGGGGAUAGCCCGGCGAAAGCCGGAUUAAUACCGCAUACGAUCUAUGGAUGAAAGUGGGGGACCGCAAGGCCUCACGCUCCUGGAGCGGCCGAUGUCAGAUUAGGUAGUUGGUGGGGUAAAGGCUCACCAAGCCAACGAUCUGUAGCUGGUUUGAGAGAACGACCAGCCACACUGGGACUGAGACACGGCCCAGACUCCUACGGGAGGCAGCAGUGGGGAAUUUUGGACAAUGGGCGCAAGCCUGAUCCAGCAAUGCCGCGUGCAGGAUGAAGGCCUUCGGGUUGUAAACUGCUUUUGUACGGAGCGAAAAGGCUUCUUCUAAUACAGGAGGCUCAUGACGGCACCGUAAGAAUAAGCACCGGCUAACUACGUGCCAGCCGCCGCCGUAAGAC